CACGUAGUUAGCCGGGGCUUCUUAGUCAGGUACCGUCAUUUUCUUCCCUGCUGAUAGGGCUUUACAUACCGAAGUACUUCCUCACUCACGCGGCGUCGCUGCAUCAGGGUUCCCCCCAUUGUGCAAUAUUCCCCACUGCUGCCUCCCGUAGGAGUCUGGGCCGUGUCUCAGUCCCAAUGUGGCCGUCCACCCUCUCAGGCCGGCUAUGGAUCGUCGGUUUGGUGGGCCGUUACCCCGCCAACUGCCUAAUCCAACGCGGACCCAUCCUAUGCCGCCUCAGCUUUUCACACCGUACCAUGCGGUACUGUGCGCUUAUGCGGUAUUAGCACCCGUUUCCGGAUGUUAUCCCCCUGCAUAGGGCAGGUUGUCCACGCGUUACUCACCCGUCCGCCGCUAAGCCACAUCCUCUUCCUCCCGAAGGAUUCCAAUGAUGUGCUCCGCUCGACUUGCAUGUGUUAAGCACGCCGCCAGCGUUCAUCCUGAGCCAGGAUCAAACUCU
rnacentral:rRNA from 1 species